rnacentral:rRNA from 1 species
ACGAGACCCCUGCCUGCUAAAUAGUUGGUCGAAUGAAUAUUCAUUGGAUGCAGCUUCUUAGAGGGACGUGCGUUCUAUUAGACGCAGGAAGAUAGGGGCAAUAACAGGCCUGUGAUGCCCUUAGAUGUCCUGGGCCGCACGCGCGUUACACUGAUGCACUCAACGAGUCUACCUUGGCCGAGAGGCCUGGGAAAUCUUGUUAACAUGCAUCGUGAUAGGGAUAGAUUAUUGCAAUUAUUAAUCUUGAACGAGGAAUUCCUAGUAAACGCAGAUCAUCAAUCUGCAUUGAUUACGUCCCUGCCCUUUGUACACACCGCCCGUCGCACCUACCGAUUGAAUGGUCCGGUGAAGCCUCGGGAUUGCGAUGAGUUUCCUUCAUUGGGAGUUCGUCGCGAGAACUUGUCUAAACC